AGGAGAGAGAGAGACUAAGCUAGGAGCAGUGGAUGCAGAGUGGGGUGUGGCGGAGAACGGCAGCUUGAGGCCAUCCUCAGGCUUUGCUGUGUAACCGAGCUCCCUGGGAGCUGGGAAGGGCUCCCAAAAUCGAUGAGGCAAGAGCUGUUUGGCUGCGGCAGUGAGCCCAUCUGUCAGCCUGGGCAGUCCUUGCAUCCUUGCGUCGUGUGGUUAACGUUUCCUCCGAGGACAGAGAGGGGGGAGGGCCUCUCUGUCUGGGGGGUGUAUCACAGAAACUCAACAGCCAUCCACGUCUUUCCAGGAAAACCAAGGGCAUCCCCACAAUCCCUCCUCUGCAGCCCCCUCCCCACUCCCGGCCUAGUGCGCCGACGCAGAAACCCCAACGCCCACAUCUGAAAGAACCAGUGCUGGCUCGGGCUUCACGAGUCGGGAUUCCAGGGACCAACGCCUGGGACUGCAGCAAAGAACCAAAGCAGGAGGGGGAUGGAGAGCAUUUUUCUCGUAGAGUCAUUUCCCAGCAACCCUCUCUAGGCUAUUACCCAUACCUGGGAUUCUUUUCCAGUCGAGCUAUCUCAAAGUGGACAUUUUCACCUGAUGAAGAACACAAUGCUCAAAAACCAGACUUCUUUUACUUCAUCACUCCCGUGUAUGCUGAGAUCCACUGACACUGACCUCUUUGCUUGUUCCUUGAGCAAGAUGCUAUCUCCGACUGGACUCCAUGAAUUUUCACCAGCCUUCCCCAGUGCCUGGAAUACCCUCUUCUUUUUGUGGGUUAAUAAUAAAAAAUAGAUAAAUAAAUAGUAUUUAUAUAGCCUA